UCCCACAUAUAGACUACUUUACGGGUUUUCCCGCACGGUGCUUUUCAAGGAAGAGUGAGUAGACUAAUGCUUCCUGGAAUAUUCCCGGUCCUGCCUUGAAUAAUCAACAAGGUGAUUUCGAACUGCACGUCGUUUAUCUAUUCUUCGUCGCUCUCUUUAGCCAGUGUCUCAACAAGAAUUCAGAAGACAGCAUCUAAAAAAUAGACUUUUCAAAAACAACGAAAAUUUUAAGUGACGGAGCAGCUUUAUUGUUGCAACUGUAAAAGGAGUGAUUGAGAUCCAUAUGUUUUCGACAUUUAGUGCUACAAGAAUUCAGAAGACAAAAUAGUAAAGCAAGAUGGAGACUUCUCUCAAUCCUCAAAAAAGCCGAUUUGAAGUAUCUGACGACCUCUCUGAUGUCACUCUAGAGGUAGAAGGUCGGAGACUGUAUGUUAAUAAGAUUCUUCUAAUGAUACACUCACCUGUUUUCAACAAAAUGUUUACAGCUGACUUCAAAGAAAAAUGCUCAAGUGAGAUUCCUCUUCCAGGAAAGAAAUUCUCUACAAUGGUGGAACUUUUGGAGCAAAUCUACCCCGGUGAUGGCGUGGACUUGAUUACAGAUAGUCACAUUGUGGAACUAACAGUGUGCAGCAUGACAAAUUAGUACAGUUACAUCUUGGGAUAAUUUCUCCCUUAAACUAUGAAGCAGUGUACAAAACCUUACCAGACCUUCUUGAGCUCGCAGACGAGUAUGACAUGCAGCACGUUUUCCACAACGCCAAGCAGUACAUCAUCCAGCGGCUACGUGACCCCGGUCUAAAGAGGUCAGCAGACCGUACUUUCCUCUACCUUGGGGUCGUCGAACGUUACAAACGGUUGGAUUCGCUAAGAAAUUAUCUUGUGUGGCUAGCAGCAUGUAUACCUGCUGAAGAAAUGGAAAAAAACAAGUUUUAUCAUUUUGUACCUGCCACAGCCAUUAGAGAUGCUCUGCUAUUGAGACACAAGGCAGUGGAACGUUUUAUCAAGGAUACAACUUAUACGAAUUUAGUACCUGACGUAAACAAGUUGGUCGAGAAUUUCAAACCUCGGUCACUGUGUGCUAAUAGUUCACGUUAAAACCCCAGGGGUAUCUUGUUACCUAGAGUCUGUCUACAUGCAAGCCUUCAUUACGUAGUUAAUUAGAUUAUUCUAACAAUCAAAGUAAUAAUGAAGAAAUUAUCUCUCUUUCUAUAUAUAUAUACAAUAAAGGGAGAGAAAAGUAUUAGUCUGAUAUCACUGCCUUGUAUGCAAACGUGUGUAAGUGCAAUAAUUAUGAAAUGAGAAACAGUCUUUAGCUGCUUAUGAAUCUCACAUCUACGUAAACCUGAGUUCCUGGCAUCCGUGAUGAUAAGGAAACUGAUGAUGAGUUUCAUUAAAUAUAUAUUUGUAAGUCACUUUUUUAGUAAAACAUGUAAAAUAUUCUGGUGUUUAUGUGUGAAGAUUAAAGUAUUACACAUAUUAGGUGGCAUGCCACUUAGUCGGUUGGUCGGUAGAAAUACGUAGGCCAGACUUGGGCAAAGGGCUGCCCGAGGGCCGGAUCCGGCCCGCCUCCUGUCUCUGACCGGCCCGCCCGCUGGCCCGCCCGCCCGUUCAGAGUUAUAUAUAUAUACUGUAUUUGGUAAAACUAUAUUAGUCCGGCCCUCUAAAACCAUCCCAAUUUCUCAUGCGGCCCCUUGGGAAAAUUAAUUGCUCACCCCUGAAGUAGACCAUCAGGAAGUUUAUUUCCAAUCCUAAGACUGUCUACAGAUUUUUUUCUCAUGUUAGAGAACUCCCUUUGAUCAAAAUUUCAUUAAUACAGUCUCCUUUAUUUAAUAAUCAUUGCUCAUUAGUAGAGUGUCUUUAAUUUAAUAUUUAUUGUGAAGAAACUCUCUCUCGUUCCCAACUACCACCACAACAAUAACUAUCUCUCCUGCAUCUCCUAAUAUGUACAUAUUAUAUAUAUGUAUUUUGACAAUGUAGUAACUCUUUUUAUAAAUAUGCAUUCUGAUUCGGUUGAUGUGAUUAUGUAUAUCAUGGUCGUUUAUUUGGCGAUAUUUUAUAAGAAAAGUGCCUUGUAGUAUGAGAGGUUGGCAUUAGACACUAAACAUGGAUCUUGUUGGGUAUGGAAAGUUUAACAUGAUAUACAAAAAAACAACUACCUAUACAAUGUCCUCAUAAGGAGCUUUAGUAAAUAUACUAGAAUGUUAGUACAAGACAACGUUAUUUAAUAACAGAAAAUUAGACUAAUGAUAUUAUAGAGAAGGAUGGCUAUGAUGUUAACAAUAAUAUUGGCAGAGGAUUGAAGAGGUGAGAUCGGAGGAUGAAAAUUGUCUGCGAUCGCUGAAAGUGAUUCUUUUGUUUUCUAUUUCCUGUUGCGAUGUUUUGAUGGACAGAGCUUCGUAACCAGUGCAAUAAGUACUUUCAGUGCUGGAUCUGGUGCUACUAUGUCCUUCCUACAUGCUUUUAACACUUAAUAUGUAUAACGCUUCUUGUUGUAUCUUUGUUAUUGGUUAAUUUAUUGCAACCUGAAUCCUGAAGGCACUGAGGGGCUUUUGAGUUGAUUAACUUGGGAUCCAUGACAACAGUCACGACCGGAAGGGAUGGAAGCUGUUGCUGUAGACGUGAUGAACAUUUUGGUCUGCGCCUGUUUAUAAUUAUAUGGCCAUGAAUUCCUUCUUCCUAUUACAUCCUUAUAUUUCACUGCUUCCUUUGAAUGAAUAUGUAAUCUAGUUUCCUUGUUAGCAUGAGAGUGGUCGAGUAAACAAACUGUGGAAAUAAAUUGUGCCAGGUAGAAAA